rnacentral:rRNA from 1 species
CCUACGGGUGGCAGCAGUGGGGAAUAUUGCACAAUGGGCGCAACCCUGAUGCAGCGACGCCGCGUGAGUGAGGAAGUAUUUCGGUAUUUAAAGCUCUAUCAGCAGGGGAGAAAAUGACGGUACCUGACUCAGAAGCCCUGGCUAACUACGUGCCAGCAGCCGCGUUAAUACGUAGGGGGCACGCGUUAUCCGGAUUUACUGGGUGUAAAGGGAGCGUAGACGGCUAAUCAAGUCAGAAGUGAAAGCCCAGGGCUCAACCUUGGGACUGCAUUUGAAACUCGGUGGCUAGAGUGCAGGAGAGGUAAGCGGAAUUCCUGGUGUAGCGGUGAAAUGCGUAGAUAUUAGGAGGAACACCAGUGGCGAAGGCGGCUUACUGGACUGUAACUGACGUUGAGGCUCGAAAGCGUGGGGAGCAAACAGGAUUAGAUACCCUGGUAGUC